UGCUGCCAUACUCCCCACAGUGAUGAUCAUGGACUCACUCUACGAAACUCUCCACAAUGAGAAGAACAAAGCACUUUCCUACCCUGCCGUUCCAGCUCACACUAACGAUUACAUGCUUGUUGAGAAGGUGCGGAUGGCAUUCUCAGCCUUCCCAAGCUUGGAAGAGAUUCCCAUGAGGCCCUGUCAGUGUGCUGUGAACUCAGGACGCCAGAGCACGGAGUUAAUUUGAAGUGAUGGGUGAUCAAGCAUGAGAGAAGAGAGAAGCUACUUACAUACACUCUUGGAAAGUACUGAAGUCAUCAACCUGCGUGCCAAAGACAAGGUACGCCAGCUGAGCAUACGCCAAGAAGACGAUGGCGAACAUGACGGUGAAGCCAAAGAGCUCUUUGGCACAUCGAGACAUGGUUGUGGAGAGCUGGCUCAUGGUCCUAUUAAAAUUGAUGAAUUUGAAGAGCUGCAGAAGGAGGACAAGACACCAGCCAGACUGGGAGCCAGCUGAGCUUGCCUGUGAAGCCCACUGAGCACGUGGACAACGGGAAGUGCAGCAGCUAAGACUGUAGCUGACAGCUUAGGUGCAGGACAGUGUAUGCAGGCCAAGGCUGUGUGCAGAGCACACCAGAGGAUCAGGCACAGUUCCUGCCUGGACAAAUCCAGUGGUCAUGUUUUGAGAGGCAAAGCAAUAAAUAAACAGCUAUAACUCAUGCUAUACAUUAAGAGAAAA